ACCGACUGGAUGAGCAGCGAACGGGUGAGUAACGCGUGGGGAAUCUGCCUUUGAGCGGGGGACAACAUUUGGAAACGAAUGCUAAUACCGCAUAACAACUUUAAACACAAGUUUUAAGUUUGAAAGAUGCAAUUGCAUCACUCAAAGAUGAUCCCGCGUUGUAUUAGCUAGUUGGUGAGGUAAAGGCUCACCAAGGCGAUGAUACAUAGCCGACCUGAGAGGGUGAUCGGCCACAUUGGGACUGAGACACGGCCCAAACUCCUACGGGAGGCAGCAGUAGGGAAUCUUCGGCAAUGGACGAAAGUCUGACCGAGCAACGCCGCGUGAGUGAAGAAGGUUUUCGGAUCGUAAAACUCUGUUGGUAGAGAAGAACGUUGGUGAGAGUGGAAAGCUCAUCAAGUGACGGUAACUACCCAGAAAGGGACGGCUAACUACGUGCCAGCAGCCGCGGUAAUACGUAGGUCCCGAGCGUUGUCCGGAUUUAUUGGGCGUAAAGCGAGCGCAGGUGGUUUAUUAAGUCUGGUGUAAAAGGCAGUGGCUCAACCAUUGUAUGCAUUGGAAACUGGUAGACUUGAGUGCAGGAGAGGAGAGUGGAAUUCCAUGUGUAGCGGUGAAAUGCGUAGAUAUAUGGAGGAACACCGGUGGCGAAAGCGGCUCUCUGGCCUGUAACUGACACUGAGGCUCGAAAGCGUGGGG
rnacentral:rRNA from 1 species